UGGGGAAUAUUGCACAAUGGGGGAAACCCUGAUGCAGCGACGCCGCGUGAGCGAAGAAGGUUUUCGAAUCGUAAAGCUCUGUCCUAUGGGAAGAUAAUGACGGUACCAUAGGAGGAAGCCCCGGCUAACUACGUGCCAGCAGCCGCGGUAAUACGUAGGGGGCAAGCGUUGUCCGGAAUCACUGGGCGUAAAGGGUUCGUAGGCGGAAAUGCAAGUCAGUUGUGAAAGGCAGAGGCUCAACCUCUGUAAGCAAUUGAAACUGUAUUUCUUGAGAUGUGGAGAGGCAAGUGGAAUUCCUAGUGUAGCGGUGAAAUGCGUAGAUAUUAGGAAGAAUACCGGUGGCGAAGGCGACUUGCUGGACACAAACUGACGCUGAGGAACGAAAGCGUGGGUAGCAAACAGG
rnacentral:rRNA from 1 species